AGAAGUUUGAUUUUGAAUUAAAAUUGAAAGAACAAUACGGACGCGGAAGACGACAAAAUUAUUAAUUUAAUUGUCUACCAUGAGAAUCAGAGAUCGUCUUGUUUCAAGAACAAUUAAGACAUUAAAAAAUAUAUCUAGAUCCCGCUGAUGACAUGAGGCUAUGAAGCCAAUCUAUUGUUGGUUAAAAAUUUGCAUUAGUUAGUUGUUCUUGUGGAAGAAUUUUGAUAAUUAUAUGAAUUUAUUUAUUAAGUGUUUGAACGCAAUUUUAAUUGACUUCAAGGCGCCUGAUUAACUUGAAAAUGUACACACGCAUCAUGGACAAAUGACAAUGCAAUAAUUUUAUAAUUACGCUCUAAAAUCAUGACUAAUAUCAGCAUGAUAAAAAAGAUCAAAUAAAUUUAUUUGUUAUUUUGCUA